rnacentral:tRNA from 1 species
GGUAUCGUGGUCAAAUGGUAAGGCACCGCUUUGCAAGUGCGGGAAUGGCAGUUCGAUUCUGCCCGAUACCU